GAUGAACGCUGGCGGCGUGCCUAAUACAUGCAAGUCGAGCGAACAGACGAGGAGCUUGCUCCUCUGACGUUAGCGGCGGACGGGUGAGUAACACGUGGAUAACCUACCUAUAAGACUGGGAUAACUUCGGGAAACCGGAGCUAAUACCGGAUAAUAUAUUGAACCGCAUGGUUCAAUAGUGAAAGACGGUUUUGCUGUCACUUAUAGAUGGAUCCGCGCCGCAUUAGCUAGUUGGUAAGGUAACGGCUUACCAAGGCAACGAUGCGUAGCCGACCUGAGAGGGUGAUCGGCCACACUGGUACUGCGACACGCUCCAGACUCCUACGGGAGGCCGCAGUAGGGAAUCUUCCGCAAUGGGCGAAUGCCUGACGGAGCCACGCCGCGUGAGUCAUGAAGGUCUUCGGAUCGUAAAACUCUGUUAUUAGGGAAGAACAAAUGUGUAAGUAACUAUGCACGUCUUGACGGUACCUAAUCAGAGAGCCACGGCUAACUUCGUG
rnacentral:rRNA from 1 species